rnacentral:rRNA from 1 species
AACGAACGCUGGCGGCAUGCCUAACACAUGCAAGUCGACCGAUACCUUCGGGUCUAGUGGCGCACGGGUGCGUAACGCGUGGGAACCUGCCCUUCGGUUCGGAAUAACUCCCCGACAGGGGUGCUAAUACCGGAUAAUGUCUUCGGACCAAAGAUUUAUCGCCUUUGGAUGGGCCCGCGUUGGAUUAGCUAGUUGGUAGGGUAAAAGCCUACCAAGGCGACGAUCCAUAGCUGGUCUGAGAGGAUGAUCAGCCACACUGGGACUGAGACACGGCCCAGACUCCUACAGGAGGCAGCAAGGGGGGAUAUUGGACACAUGGCGAAAGCCUGAUCCAGCAAUGCCGCGUGAGUGAUGAAGGCCGUAGGGUUGUAAAGCUCUUUUAACCGGGAUGAUAAUGACAGUACCGGGAGAAUAAGCUCCGGCUAACGCCGUG